GAGAAGCCAGGGCAGUCACUCGAGGCAGAAACUGAAGCAGAAACCAUGGGGGUAUGCUGCUUCCUGGCUCACUUCCCUUGGUCUACUCAGCUUACAUUUUUAUACAACCCAUAACCACUUGCCAUGGGCUGGUAUUGCCUAUAGUGGUCUAGACCCUCCCACAUCAACCAGAAAUCCAGCAAAUUCCCCACAGACAUGCCCGCAGGGUACGAUGGAGGCCAUUCCAUAACCAAGGCUCUCCCUUUCCCGGUGACUUCAUCGAAUCGAGCAAAGUUAACCCACACAGGCAGAGAGUCUCCAUGUAGACAGCCGGGGGUGUGCGCUACCGUUCGGAGACGAGGUGGGGAGGCUACACACUCACGUAGCUAUUGUCCUAAGGAUUUCUAAAGUGCCUGCUAGCCCGUUCCAGGGCUCUCAGUCAAGAAUGUAACUGAAGCCCUUGGAUAAUAGAGUGUGAAAGGAAAGAUGUUCCCUGGUGUCAGAUAGCCUGGCAAACCGGACCAAAAAGCACAAACCAGAUGCUUGGCUUUACUCCUUGUGCUGGCUGAGGCUCCCAUUGCCUGCACUGUACCAGAAAUACUUUGCAGGCCAAAAAAAAAAAAAAAAAAAAAAAAAAAAAGUCACAGCUGGCUAUGAAGCUCAGGAUCCUGCCUAUGUACAACCUGCUCAGACUGAGCAUAGCCUGCUUCCUCCUGUUAGCGCCACUGUCGACAGGCUAACGACAUAGAGGCAGAAGCUACGGCCAGACACGGAAUGGGCUACCUGCAGGAUCUCAGGAUAGGAGCACCAGGAAAGUGUUAUUUUCAGUCAGCAUUCUAGUGCCUUAGGUAAACUUCUAGUGCCCGAGUGAGCAGAGAGCUGGGUUUCCAGAGUGUCAUUAAGAAGUUGCCGGGAAACCUAAUCCUGAAAGCAAGCCCCCAUCAUGCCCUGGGAGAGACACUGGAGCUAGGCACUGUCUUGUGGGUGAGGCAGGGGAGGUGGCUCUUUGGAGAGCAGCUGGCGCUUUGUUGGAGACUCGGGGGUCACUCCUCUUCCUUCGCAGUGGGGCUGUCUGUGCUGUACACUAAUGCUGGCCGUCAGUCCUGAAGGGCAGCGAAGCUCUGGUUUCCUUGUGAUUUCAGGGGAAGAUAAGAAUUAGCCUCCGAGAGAACUGGCCACUGCACUGACCCAGCUUGAUGGCGUCCUGGAGAGUGAGCUUCAGUGGCAGCUGUACAGCUUGCACUUCCCAGUCACAGUCCAUCUCUGAGGGAAGCCAAGGCAGGACCUCGAGGCCCAAACCUGGAGGUGGAAAUGGAAGCAGAGUCCAAAG
ensembl:lncRNA